ensembl:lncRNA
AAGAUCCUAGAUGAUGCCAAUGUUUGGCAAAGGUUGGGGACCACAUCCCAGACCAGGGCUUUUAUCUCGGGCAUCCUACAUCCAGCCCGCCCACCCCUAGAGACUGAUUUAACAGAAUCUCCUAUUUAUAGAGGCAUGAAAUAGAUGCUUUUUUGCCGUUAAAGUUUUCAUUCACACCACACACACCUCUGUGUAUCUUGUUUUUCUCCUCUGGCGCCGGAAUGGCACGUUCAGAGCUGACUCAUGCUGUAGCCACGAGCCAUCUGCUAUGCAGAAGCAUCGCUAUGUGACCAGCCCAGGCUGGUGGGCACUGGGGUCACUUCCCAUCUUUGGGAACCUGUUUCAAAACUUCUUAGUUCGUUCUGAGGGUCAUUCAGAUGGGACUUUUUUUUUUUUUUUUUUUUUUUUUUUUUGCAUUUUAGGGCCCCACCCACAGCACAUGGACUUUCCCAGGCUAGAGGUCUAAUUGGAGCUGUUGCUGCCGGCCUACACCACAGCCACAGCAAUGCCAGAUCCGAGCUGCAUCUGCAACCUACACCACAGCUCACGGCAACGCCGGUUCCUUAACCCACUGAGAGGCCAGGGAUCAAACCCACAACCUCAUGGUUCCUAGUUGGAUUCGUUUCCCCUGCACUACGACAGGAACUCCCAGAGUUGGGACCAUUAGCCGAGGUUCCUGUGAUUAGAGUCUGUUCCCAGCCAGGGAUGGGUCCUUCCACUGCGGGAAGAAGGCUCGGCGCUUUCUUCUGAGAAAUGCUGCCCUUCUCCAAGCACCCACCUUGGCCUUGGCUCUCACACCCUGAAGGUCCGGAUGCAGGGAGCCCCGCCAGCUCGGGUCACGUCUACCUGGACGUCCGUGUCUGUGGUCCCCUGCUGCCACACCGGCCCCUGUGACGCAUUCCAGCACUGCAGCCCUAAGUCCACAAAUCUAAUCACAUCUUUCCUCUGCUCAUCCCCAGCUCAUCCCUGCUCACGGCUUCUAUCCACGACACCCUAGAAUCGAAUCCAGACUCUUCCCCUAGCUCCCAGGUGCGGGUCUGGCCCUGCCCACUGUGCCCGUGAUGACGGAGGUCCACCCACUCAGGCAACUCCCAGGGCCUCACCCUUCCCCGCCUUGGGCUGCAUACACGAUGCCACAUCUUUGCCUGGAGGUUCCUUCCAUCCCCUUGGCUCUAUCACAGCCCCUCGGGUGCUUCCUUCGUGGCAUUCACCACCGUCAGUCACCCUGAUGGAUCACUGCUAGUCCGCGCAUCUCCCUGACUGCAGUGCCAGUCCUUAGGGCAGGCACCACAUCUGUCUCCCUGGCCUCUCGCUGUGCCCAGCACAGUGCCUGGCACACAGCAGGUCUGCCACAAAGAUCCGAGGAAUAAAUGAACAGAGAACUCCACCUCAAGACAGAGUAGACUGCGCCCUGGCGCCCACCCACAGACUUCUAAUCUCAACAUCCAAAACCCGAAGAAUGCGGAGCGGGUCCAGCAGGUCGCGAGGCUAAGACACAUGUGGGGGCACACAGAUUCCCACAGGCACAUGGUGUUUUCAGGCUGGAAACAAUAGCAGUCUUUGCCUCCAUAAAGAAACAGCCUCUUCGAAGUUCCUGGUCGCUCAGUGGGUUAAGGAUUUGGUGUUGUCACUGCUGUGGCAUGGGUUCAACCCCUGGCCUGGGAACUUCCACAUGCUGCAGGUGUGACCAAAAGAGAAAAAAAAACAAAAAAACAAAACAAAACAAAAAAAAAAAACGAGCUAUUCCACAUUAAAAAAAAACAAAAAACAAAAACAAAAACAAAACACAAAGGUAUUUUGGCUAAUUUAUAUUUUCCUAUUUUAGUUCAGAUACACGGUUUGUAGAAAAAGUCCUUUUUCUUUUUUUGCUUUUUGGGGCUGCACCCACAGCAUAUGGAAGUUCCCAGGGUGGGGUCAAAUCAGAGCUGCAACUGCCAGCCUACACCACAGCCACAGCAGUGCCAGAUCCUUAACCCACUGAGUGAGGCCAGGGAUCGAAACUGCAUCCUCAGGGAUCCUAGUAGGGUUCAUUACAACUGAGCUGCGAUGGGAACUCCUCCUCCUCCUCUUAUCAUGACUACAGAAAAUUCAAAAGUUCAAGCACAAGGGUAAAUGGUAACUGAUACCAGCUUCAGUACGAGGGAGCCAAUAAGGAAGAGUGGGGACUGUGGCAAACCAGGGGCCACAACUAGGAAACAUGGAUCUAGGAUGUCCAAAAUUUUAAAGAAGAAACUCAGAUUGUUUUCAAGAAAACGCUCCAUUUAAAAACCCCCAUGUGCAUCGAACCAAUCACAUCAGGGUGCUGGAUUCUGCCUGAGCUACCAGUUUACAAUCUGUGAUCUGAUGGGGUUAAAAGGCCCAGGUGUUUCUCCCGCCAUCCUCUACGCACUCAAGCAAAGAUCCUGGAUGUGACAAAGUGCUGGCUUCCUGGCUUCCUUCCAUGCAGGCUUCCAAAGCGGCCCUGGGUCCCAGCACAGGAACUGAAUGGAAUCGAGAGUGUGGUCAGGAACCCACCCUUGGGUGGGGAUCCGUGUUCGGCCCAUUCAGGAGGGCCCUGAACUCCCACCUCCCUAAAUCGCAGGCACCUAAGAGGCAGACACCUCGCUCUCCUCGCCAUCCUGCAGCAGCUUCCGGAGAAACCCCACCUGAAACCUCCCCC